rnacentral:rRNA from 1 species
UGCCAGCCGCCGCGGUAAUACGGAGGGUCCGAGCGUUAUCCGGAAUCAUUGGGUUUAAAGGGUCCGUAGGCGGGUUUAUAAGUCAGUGGUGAAAGUUUGCAGCUUAACUGUAAAAUUGCCAUUGAUACUGUAGAUCUUGAAUUAGUGUGAAGUGAUUAGAAUAAGUAGUGUAGCGGUGAAAUGCAUAGAUAUUACUUAGAAUACCAAUUGCGAAGGCAGGUCACUAACACUAUAUUGACGCUGAGGGACGAAAGCGUGGGGAGCGAACAGGAUUAGAUA